rnacentral:rRNA from 1 species
GACGUAGGGUGCGAGCGUUGUCCGGAUUUACUGGGCGUAAAGGACGCGUAGGCGGCCUGUUAAGUGUGAAGUGAAAUCUCCAGAGCUCAACUCGGAAACUGCUUCGCAUACUGGCAGGCUAGAGGAAUGCAGAGGUAACUGGAAUUCCUGGUGUAGCGGUGAAAUGCGUUGAUAUCAGGAGGAAUACCAAUGGCGAAGGCAGGUUACUGGGCAUUAUCUGACGCUGAGGCGUGAAAGCGUGGGGAGCAAACAGG